UAGGGGGUUGGUCACUCCGCAAACCGUUCUAUUUUUGUCUCCUUCACCGUUAAUCGCCCGUAUUUUCUUCGUGAAAACCGUAACCGUGAUAUUCUUUAUACAGUAAAGUUUAUCGGCCAGAAACAUCCGCAACGGUCGACAAGCGGACAAAGAUGGAAGAUUUUCGUUGAGAAACAUUUAACUGCAUGAUAUAUAUUCUGGAAUCUUGUUGGGUGCCUCGCAAGUGGCAGACCCAAACAGAACACAAUAAUAUUUCUCUGAAGAAUUUCAAUACUGCACGUAGCUAUAACUAAUUAUUGCAAGCUUGUGGGGGAUACAGACAUUCUGUCUGUAGGAAUUGAAAGGUUUCGCCGCCCUUUCUCUGAAAAAGAAAAUUAAAAACAAAAUAUUUGAGCCAUUAUUGCAAGCUUGUGGGGGAGUACAGACAUUUUGUCUGUAGGAAUUGAAAGGUUUUACCGCCCUUUCUCUGAACAAAGAAAAUUAAAAACAAAAUACUUCAGCUAUUUAUUAUAAAAAAAAUACUUAAGCCUUUUACAACGUAAGUACAGAAGCUAUAGGAAACUUUAGCCUGUAUAUAUUGCCAGUUCUAAACUCUUCUCCCUAUAAAUGUCCAGUAAGGACUAUCUUUCAUUGGUCGAGUGUGUUACCAGCUACACGAGGAAGCUUUAACUAAACCAACUUUAUAAACCAAGUGCUCAUGCUUGCUGCAUAACUCUCUG